rnacentral:rRNA from 1 species
GAUGAACGCUGGCGGCGUGCCUAAUACAUGCAAGUCGAGCGAACAGACGAGGAGCUUGCUCCUCUGACGUUAGCGACGGACGGGUGAGUAACACGUGGAUAACCUACCUAUAAGACUGGGAUAACUUCGGGAAACCGGAGCUAAUACCGGAUAAUAUAUUGAACCGCAUGGUUCAAUAGUGAAAGACGGUUUUGCUGUCACUUAUAGAUGGAUUCGCGCCGCAUUAGGUAGUUGGUAAGGUAACGGCUUACCAAGGCAACGAUGCGUAGCCGACCUGAGGGGGGGAUCGGCCACACGGGAACUGAGACAGGGUCAAGACUCCUACGGGAGGCAGCAGUAGGGAAUCUGCCGCAAUGGGCGAAAGCCUGACGGAGCAACGCCGCGUGAGUGAUGAAGGUCUUCGGAUCGUAAAACUCUGUUAUGGGGGAAGAACAAAUGUGUAAGUAACUAUGCACGUCUUGACGGUACCGAAUCAGAAAGCCACGGCUAACUACGUG